UGGCGAAUGAAUGGUGUAUGGUGAUGAUGGUGAUAACAAUGGUGAAAACAAUGGUGGUGGAAGUCUAAUUCUACUUUUGCUCUUUGAGGGGAUACAUACCUUCUUUGCUUUUGAAACUUUAUGAGGAGAAUGAGAUGCUCUUCUUUUUCUUUUCUCUCAGGUGGGUAUCUUGCACCCCUAAUUCUACUGUCGGACACUUGUCCAUUUUUACCUCUCGUCUCACUUUUUCUUUUCUUCGAGGUUCCGGGCACUUGCCCCUUUUUAUUUCCUCGUAUUAUUAUUAUUAUUAUUUUCUUUCUUUUUCUCUUUCUCUUUUUUUAGAGCACUCAUCUCCUGAAAGAAUGUAGCAAGUGGUAGUAACCAAAAUAACUGGAGCAUUUAUUUCACAGGGAAUAACAGGGAUAGGAAAAUAUUUUUUGCUAUUCUCUCCCGGAUUAGGAGUAGAAUAAUUUCGGGUGAAACUGGAGAUGGAAAUGAGUGGAUAUAUGUGGAUGGUACUUCCGGAGUAGAAGUAGCAUGUAUGAGUAAUCGUGCAAGUGAAUCUUGAUUUAACCACAUGACAAGCUCCUAAGGGUCUACACAGCUUGACCACACUCAAUGCUCAUAAGCAGUAAAUAGUAAAUGUGUGGCUCAAGGUCUAGCAAGCAUGUAUAUAUGGCUGUGGUAGG
rnacentral:lncRNA from 1 species